AUUGAACGCUGGCGGCAUGCUUUACACAUGCAAGUCGAACGGCAGCACGGGUGCUUGCACCUGGUGGCGAGUGGCGGACGGGUGAGUAAUACAUCGGAACGUAUCCAGAAGAGGGGGAGUAACGCAUCGAAAGAAUGUGCUAAUAACCGCAUAUUCUCUGAGGAGGAAAGACAGGGGAGUCGAAAGAACCUUGUGCUUUUGGUAGCGGCCGAUGUCUGAUUAGCUAGUUGGUGGGGUAAGGGGCCUACCAAGGCGACGAUCAGUAGUUGGUCGUGAGAGGACGACCAGCCACACUGGGAC
rnacentral:rRNA from 1 species